GCUGGGCGUGGUGGUGGGUGCCUGUAAUCCCAGAUGCUUGGGAGGCUGAGGCAGGAGAAUUGCUUGAACCCAGGAGGCGUAGGUUGCAGUGAGCCAAGAUCACGCCACUGCACUCCAGCCUGGGCGACAGAGCAAGACUCUGUCUCAA
rnacentral:SRP_RNA from 1 species